UAGAAAAGAAAGGACCCCGGAGGGCAGGGAAUGGUAGAAAGGAUCCAGCGGCUUCUCUUUCAGCAUUAGCUGCUACCUCGAAGUCGUAGCUUUGGAGCUGCCACACUGCAGAUCCGGAGAGAGCGCAUCGGGAAAACAUCUUCUGGCAGGAGCGGGGGAAGGAGAGAGCCCCGAGCUGCCCAUUCCUGUCAGGCUGCAGCGCUGCAAGCACCGCUCCGGGCCUGGCUCUUGCCCAGGGAGGACUGGAGACAUGGAGGGAGGCUGAGCACCACGGCUUGGAAAGCAGAGGGCAAAGGAAACACAGCUUUGUGGCAGCAGGGCACCAGGAGAGAAGAGUGGAAGGUAACUUCUGUGGAAGGAAUAGUCUUCAAAGGACCUGAGAAGUAGUCUGGAGACUGGAGUGACCUCCUUUACUGCUUCCCAUGGCAGUCGUGGAGCUAGCAAGAGGAAUGAGAAAGCAGUAUUAUUUAUUUCAUCUACUAUAAAAAGUGACUUUUUAAGAUCUUGUUCAAGUAAAUGGAGCAAUGAAUUCUCCUUUGCCCCUGACUGCUGUUGAAGACAUGUGACUUAUUAGAUAUGCUGCUAUUGUAAUCAAAGUAACUAGCCAGGCUAUUUUAAACUGUGAAGAACUGGAUGUCUGGGAAAUGGGGAAAAAAGGAUUAGGUGGCACAAGAGAAAAGAAACUUCAUCUGUGACAGUCUUGGGCACUUUGUAGAAUUUCCUCUUAAAGCGGUUUCACAAGCUUGUCUGGCAGAGAAGUGAUAAAUCGUUCAACAACUCAGGCUUGCCAAAGUAGUUUAAGGAGCUUUCAAAGGAAACUUUUAAAGACUUGUGGCUUUCAACUGCAUGUGAAUCAUCCUGAAGAGUGAAACUAUAAUUGCUAACCUCCAUUUAAUGGGUCACCAUAUACCUGUCUGUGUGUUCAUGAGCUCUGGCACUCAGUUCAAGAGUCAUGUUCCCAUGCAGAUCCCAUGCCUGCGUCCAAGAGCCCACAGGGAUGCCACUGCUGUUGCCAAUCUACUGAACUUGAAAAUCUAAGCUGGCAGAGCCUGCAAGCAACUGAGGUCAAAAAAACCCACAUAAAGGUAGUAGUAGGAAUGUCAUGUCCACACACACAGCCUAGGCAGGGAGCCAUGUCCUUUCUCAGCCUCUUUUCUUAUGAGGCUCUUUUUGUUUGUCUAAGGAUGUAUGGGGAUUAGAGAGAGUGGGCUAUGGGGAUUUUAUCCCCUAUGUAACACCCUUACCAGGAAAGUCAAACAAACAGGGCCAGAGGUGUCCCACAGGAGGCCCCAGAGCUGUCCUCAGGGAGGGCUUGUUGGUACGGGGCUAGCAGAGGUGUGCUUGCAGAAUCUGGGACAAGAUGUGGCCAGCUGGCUGCUGGUGCACUGCAGAGAUGGGUCCCAUAACCUCCUCUGAGUUAAGGCACAUAUUUAUAUAGCCCUACCAGAAAAGGCAGGGUGGAACACGCUAAUAUAUACACAUUAAAGAGACUGAAUAAAUAAACAGUAGGUUCUGAUUUAUUUUCUCUGCUACUUGGCGAUCUUAGUUUUGGCACAAGAUAGAUUUCAUACACAAAUGUGAUCCCCAGAUAGGUUCUUGUCCUGCCUGAUUUAGAAACCAUGUGCAUAGGAGAAAAACUUCACAAAUGUUCUUAAAGCAUAAUGAUAUUUAUGCUGUUUAU